rnacentral:sRNA from 1 species
UAUCAUUCGUAAAAUGUCCAAGAAACUCAAUAGGAUGUUGAGACUUGGUUUUAUCGUGGUACUUAUUACCACGGCCAUGAGUUACCGAGGAGCAAGUUUUGUAAUGGUCAGCGAAAUGAGGGACAUUAGAUUUGAUUUGUGGUCAAUACGUUCACUCUCUACAAGGAGUCCUUUGGACUGUUCCAGGAAGUGUGAGACCAAUGGUUCAUGUCUGUCUUUUCAGUACUUAUCUCUGACCGGUCAAUGUCGACUUUUCAAUACAAUUUUUCUACAUCCGGAUUCAGGAGUGCACAAUAUCGGAUGGCAGUAUUAUAUAGCAUCAAAUAGACGCUGUAGACACCCGUUUAUUGAUGGUCGAGACUUGGAUAUAUGUUUUAUGUUUGCCGGCUUUCAUAAUUUGACAGAGGGUAUGGAGGAAUGCGCGGCGAUUCAGUCAAGGAUCAUCUCUAUCACAUCAGCAGAACAGAGCGAGUUUCUCAACAGAUUGGCUGGUAACGAAUUUUUACGCAUAUUUCUCUCCCGGAUAACAAUCACAGACGGCCAUUUAUUCAAGGAUUCUGGGAUGGAAACGACUGGGUCUUGGACAACGGGAAUCCUUUAGUCUACACAAACUGGGCGAGUGGUCAACCAGAGAUUGUUAACAAUAAACGAUAUUUAAAAUUCUCAAAUGGUGAAUGGAAAACGUCAAUGG